rnacentral:rRNA from 1 species
UACGUAGGGGGCAAGCGUUGUCCGGAUUUAUUGGGCGUAAAGAGCGUGUAGGCGGCCAGGUAGGUCCGCUGUGAAAACUCGAGGCUCAACCUCGAGAUGUCGAUGGAAACCGUCUGGCUAGAGUCCGGAAGAGGAGUGUGGAAUUCCUGGUGUAGCGGUGAAAUGCGCAGAUAUCAGGAAGAACACCUAUGGCGAAGGCAGCACUCUGGGACGGUACUGACGCUGAGACGCGAAAGCGUGGGGAGCGAACAGG